GUGAGCGGGGACAAUUAGGUGCAGGUGACUCAAAUUAAACAGGGGCAGCUCAUCACACGAGGGGACAGGAAGUGGAGGGGUUGACGCGAGACAUUUGGAUGAAUAUUGAAAUAAAACACGAGACAUAAAACGUGAGGAAAACGAAUAGGCCAACUAUCCAGGGGACAUGGUGAACGUGUUCCAGUGAAAAAUAGGAGUAUCACAAUGAGCCACCAUGCUUUAUGUAGCCUAAAACGUCAGGACCCAGACAGCAAAAGACUGCGAAAUUAAGCUAUCAACUGUGUUCAUUUGAUACGCUUUCUCACAUCAGACAUGAGGAUAGACCUACUGAUCCUUUCCCCUGAAGGCCUCUUAAGAUAGCGGAUUUAAGGACAUGUCAGUCUGCUGCAAGGUGAAGGGGGCGGGGCUUCCCCUUUCACUACAACUCCAUGUCCUGAGCCUCGUCUUCCGAAAAGUCUGACAUGGAGCUCUCUGAGGAGGAGUCCCCUUCCCUCUCCUCCUGCUCCUUUAGAGCCUCUUCAGUGGCAUAUCUCUGGAUGUACUCUGAAAGAAAAACACAAGGACCCCAUGAGACGUCAACAACAACUGAGCAACAACUGAAGCUUCACUGCAUCUGACAACAGAUAAGUUCAGAAACACACAACAACAGCAUGGCUGCCAGCGUUAAUGAAGACUUUGUUCCCAAAAAGAGGCCCAGUUCCAUCCUCAGACAAACCACAGCCCACUGCAG